AUGGGAGCUUGCUCCCUGAUGUUAGCGGCGGACGGGUGAGUAACACGUGGGUAACCUGCCUGUAAGACUGGGAUAACUCCGGGAAACCGGGGCUAAUACCGGAUGCUUGUUUGAACCGCAUGGUUCAAACAUAAAAGGUGGCUUCGGCUACCACUUACAGAUGGACCCGCGGCGCAUUAGCUAGUUGGUGAGGUAACGGCUCACCAAGGCAACGAUGCGUAGCCGACCUGAGAGGGUGAUCGGCCACACUGGGACUGAGACACGGCCCAGACUCCUACGGGAGGCAGCAGUAGGGAAUCUUCCGCAAUGGACGAAAGUCUGACGGAGCAACGCCGCGUGAGUGAUGAAGGUUUUCGGAUCGUAAAGCUCUGUUGUUAGGGAAGAACAAGUACCGUUCGAAUAGGGCGGUACCUUGACGGUACCUAACCAGAAAGCCACGGCUAACUACGUGCCAGCAGCCGCGGUAAUACGUAGGUGGCAAGCGUUGUCCGGAAUUAUUGGGCGUAAAGGGCUCGCAGGCGGUUUCUUAAGUCUGAUGUGAAAGCCCCCGGCUCAACCGGGGAGGGUCAUUGGAAACUGGGGAACUUGAGUGCAGAAGAGGAGAGUGGAAUUCCACGUGUAGCGGUGAAAUGCGUAGAGAUGUGGAGGAACACCAGUGGCGAAGGCGACUCUCUGGUCUGUAACUGACGCUGAGGAGCGAAAGCGUGGGGAGCGAACAGGAUUAGAUACCCUGGUAGUCCACGCCGUAAACGAUGAGUGCUAAGUGUUAGGGGGUUUCCGCCCCUUAGUGCUGCAGCUAA
rnacentral:rRNA from 1 species